rnacentral:rRNA from 1 species
AGCGAACGCUGGCGGCAGGCCUAACACAUGCAAGUCGAACGAUCCUUCGGGAUAGUGGCGGACGGGUGAGUAACACGUGGGAACGUGCCCUUUGGUUCGGAACAACUCAGGGAAACUUGAGCUAAUACCGGAUGUGCCCUUCGGGGGAAAGAUUUAUCGCCAUUGGAGCGGCCCGCGUCUGAUUAGCUAGUUGGUGAGGUAAUGGCUCACCAAGGCGACGAUCAGUAGCUGGUCUGAGAGGAUGAUCGGCCACACUGGGACUGAGACACGGCCCAGACUCCUACGGGAGGCAGCAGUGGGGAAUCUUGCGCAAUGGGCGAAAGCCUGACGCAGCCAUGCCGCGUGAAUGAUGAAGGUCUUAGGAUUGUAAAAUUCUUUCACCGGGGACGAUAAUGACGGUACCCGGAGAAGAAGCCCCGGCUAACUUCGUGCCAGCCGCCGCCGUAAUAC